GAUGAAGAACGCAGCGAAAUGCGAUAAGUAGUGUGAAUUGCAGAAUUCAGUGAAUCAUCGAAUCUUUGAACGCACAUUGCGCCCUUUGGUAUUCCAAAGGGCAUGCCUGUUCGAGCGUCAUUUGUACCCUCAAGCUUUGCUUGGUGUUGGGCGUCUUGUCUCUAGCUUUGCUGGAGACUCGCCUUAAAGUAAUUGGCAGCCGGCCUACUGGUUUCGGAGCGCAGCACAAGUCGCACUCUCUAUCAGCAAGGGUCUAGCAUCCAUUAAGCCUUUUUUUCAACUUUUGACCUCGGAUCAGGUAGGGAUACCCGCUGAACUUAAGCAUAUCAAUAAGCGGAGGA
rnacentral:misc_RNA from 1 species